AGAGAGGUGCAGGGAACUCUCUGGGGGUCCAAGACAUGGUCCCUCGAGGGCCUCCCAGUGGGUAUUGAGCCAAGGAGCAGCCAGUGGUGAUCACAGACUUCAACCAAGGGCUGGGCCCCUCCAGGGUGAGCAGAGCCCUGCUCAGCCAGCUCCUGCAAAUAUCAAUCCUGCAGGAAGGGUUGUGGGGAGAAGACACUGUUCCAACCAACUGACCUGCUGGAUUGGAGGAUCUAGAAACCUACACGUGACUCUGGCCAAGACAAAAUGCUUCAAGGUUCCUGGGAAUGCUGACUAAUACAAGGCAUCUCAACUUGGGCAUUACUGAGGCUGUAGGGUCACGGUAAGCCCUGAUAUUGCACAUGUCUGUGCACUGUUAUGGGGAGAAGAUCCACAAGAUCACAUAGUCCCCCAAAAGGUGAAGAGCUGUUGCCUUAAGGAGCCCCAGGGAGAAAAACCAGGCUUGAGGGUUUUAG
rnacentral:lncRNA from 1 species